rnacentral:rRNA from 1 species
GAUGAACGCUGGCGGCGUGCCUAAUACAUGCAAGUCGAGCGAACGGACGAGAAGCUUGCUUCUCUGAUGUUAGCGGCGGACGGGUGAGUAACACGUGGAUAACCUACCUAUAAGACUGUGAUAACUUCGGGAAACCGGAGCUAAUACCGGAUAAUAUUUUGAACCGCAUGGUUCAAAAGUGAAAGACGGUCUUGCUGUCACUUAUAGAUGGAUCCGCGCUGCAUAGCUAGUUGGUAAGGUAACGGCUUACCAAGGCAACGAUGCAUAGCCGACCUGAGAGGGUGAUCGGCCACACUGGAACUGAGACACGGUCCAGACUCCUACGGGAGGCAGCAGUAGGGAAUCUUCCGCAAUGGGCGAAAGCCUGACGGAGCAACGCCGCGUGAGUGAUGAAGGUCUUCGGAUCGUAAAACUCUGUUAUUAGGGAAGAACAUAUGUGUAAGUAACUGUGCACAUCUUGACGGUACCUAAUCAGAAAGCCACGGCUAACUACGUG